ensembl:lncRNA novel transcript, antisense to CBLN1
GCGGCAGCAGGGUUGGGCUCUCGCCGUGAGUCGACGAAGGGAGCGCGGGCGCGCGCCCGCGUCCGCGCACUGAGAGUCGCCUCGGCCGCUCGCUUUCUCGACUCCCGCCUCGCGCCUCGAUCCUGUUCCGCCUCCCUCGGCCCUCCUGCCCGCCCCCACUCGUCGGCCCUCAGGUUCCUGGAAAGUGAAAAUUUCAUUUCUUUGUGGACAGCUCAGAGACCUAAUAGGAUGGGGUCUUAGAGAAACAUCUUUUGAGCCACAGACUUCUUUGUUACCAGAAGGAAAAUGAAAGAAGAAAUUUAAAUACCACUUGAAGAGAGCUGAUCGCCACCAACUGGCCUCUGGGUGGAUUUGGCCAAUGGAAGCACCUGUAGAGGGAAGAGAGUGAGGUUAGGAUAUUUCUUCCUGCUGUCUCCGUGCUUCCCUGCAGAGAGUGUGAAGAAAUGACCCUGAAAAGCCUCUGGCAGAGGAUUCUUCUUUCAGGAUGGUGUCGCCUCCUCAGCAGCCCAUCCUCCUCCCCUGGACUCAAGCUCUCAUUCCAGUAACACUCCUUCCUCCUUCUCCAUCUUCAGGGGGAGGUUUGCCAGUCGGUGGGUUCUAAGCAUAUCUCGCUGAUUCCCCCCAACCCUGCCGACACCUCUGUAGGUCGUCCCUUCAUUAAAAUCUCUCCAUUUGAACUAUCUGAGUUUAAUUCCAUUUCCUCCUGGUAUCUCAGUGAUACACGGUAUCAGUACAAAAAUCUCGCUUCACCUUCAGAACCAACAGAUUUGAGACAUUUUAUCCUCUGUGGAACCAUUAGUUAUUUUGUCAUUGGUUGUAUCAGAAAAAAAAAUCAGGAAUGCAAAUCCUUCUUUAUUACAGAUUCAGAUUUGCAUAUUACCAAUGUUAUAUAUUUUAAACAAAACUAUUCAUCAUAAGUUUUAAAAAUUAACUACUGGAGUAGUUAAUGAAUCUGAAUGUAAUUAUGUAGCUUUCAUAAUAUUAAAGUAAAAAUACUAAAAGAAGUAUUUCUUAAAGAAGCAAAUGCUCAAUCUCCAAGUAAAUUUUAUUCUAUGCUCUUCCGGUAUAAGAAUAUGUUAAUAUCUUGAAAAAUAUCAUAUUAUUUUGUGAACUCAUAAAGCUAUUUUGAGUUUUUGUAAAAUGAAAACCUUACCAAAAUGUAUUUUAUUGUUGGAAAGCUUGACCGUUACUGCUGUUUAAUUUUUUGAGCUUGUAAACUUUAUUUGUGCAUGUUUUCAACAAAGAAGGAUUUUAUUGUUAUUACAUAAAACAGGUGAUUUCUAGAUUUUAAAAUCACAAAUUGAAAGCAAGGCACAAUAAUAUAUAUUUCAAGAUAUAGGUACUUAGGAGGCAUCCUUUUAGUCAUCUGUUCAAUGUAGCCAUCUAUUUUACACCUACUGUCUACUAUUGUUUGAGGUCCUUGCCAAAGUAUUGCAGGCUAGUUAGGAAACAUAAAACAAUUAGAAAGUAAUCUAUGACAAGUAAGCUAUCUAUAAAUGGCAAUGAAGGGUAGAACAAAUUCAAUGAAAAUAUCUAUUUAAUCCUAGUGUUUACUGGUCUAGAAGAAUAGGCUGAGUAAAUUAGUAUUUCUCUGGCUGUUGUGGUAACACAUUGCAUGCUAUAACAGUUUUAAGUAAUUACAGGUGCAUUGAAAUUUAUCUAUGGCUUUGUCAUCAUAUUCUAAAAUGUCAUGAGUACUUUUUUCUGACCUCAAUUACUAUGAAAUUGGUUUCCAAUAUUUAAUUAACCAAGAAUAUCAAGUCUAUAGGGUAUUAUUAAGGUGAGACUUCUGUAGCCUUUUCAAUAAAGACCAGAAUUUUGGAGUGCCUUGAACCUUAAUCAUUGAUCUUUAAUUCUUAUUAAGUCAACUGCCCACCUUUUAAAGACUGAGGCCCAGGAAGAGUAAGUUUCUCUGAGACAAUGCAUACAGUACAGUGCUUCUUGGGUAUUGGCUCUAAGACCAGAUGCAAAGAAAGGCUAAAAUCCCAUUUCAUUGUUCAUUAGGUGAGAACCCUUUGUUAAGCUGUGUAACCUCUGUGCAUAGUUUCCUCAUCAGCAAAGUCAGAAAAAGUAUGUACCUGAAGGACUGAUUGUAAGGCUGGGAUGAGAGAAUCCAUGUGAUCAGCCCUCACCAACAGGUGCUGCCCAGUUCAUGAGUGCUGCUGCUGUCCUGCCCAAGUACCCAGCUUGCAGAGUGCCAGAGUUAGAGUCCCAGGGGUGUUCUCCACAGCUGCAUGCUUGAUCCAGGCCUAUCAGGUGUUAUUUGUUGACGGAACCAGGCAUCAUCAGCAAACAAAACUGACAAAGCUUCCUGCCCUCUGUGGAAGGCAUCUGAGGAAGAGACUGGAUUUUGUAGCAACAUGUUAUUCUCAUUAUAAACUUUAUCAUUGGAAUACUAAAGCCAAAUCAUCCCCCAUCUCCUUGAUCAGGAUACCCACUUAAUCUAGGCAGCUACACAAUUGUGAGAGCCUUUGUUUUUUUCUGCUGAAACAUCCUUAAAAAGAUACCUCACAACCCAAGAUUUGGCUUUUCUUAAAUACGAUUUUUAAUUUUUUUCAUUUCUAUCUAGAGAUUUAAUUGGAAAUGGAAAAUCAUCAAUUUUCCAAUUAAAUGUCUGUUCCAAUCAACAUUAUACCUUUUAGGUUGUCAUUGUCAUUUUUAAGUUUAAGCAACUUUAAGGAUUUUGAAUCUGGCUGCCUGUAAAUUAAAGGUGAAAGUAAUCAUUGUGUUGGAUUGGAACAUUUUGUCAAUUGAGAGUGGUUUCCUUGUUCUUAGUGUAUGAAAAGUUUAUUUUUCUAAUGU